rnacentral:ncRNA from 1 species
AAAAGCUGGCCCCCGUUUGAUCACAAUCAUGCUGGUCAGAGUGGAAUAUUUCGAGGGUGUUGGGAACGCAAUGUUCUCAGCCUAUUCUCAAACUUCGAAUGGGUAAGCAAGGCGUUUUGCUUUUGAUUUUACGAUGAAAUCGCCCAAUUAGAAUGUAUAAAUGCCUAGUGGGCCAAUUUUGGUAAGCAGAACUGGCGAUGUGGAAUGAACCAAAAGUCAGGUUAAGGUGCCAGACAUUGGCGCUCAUGAAAUACCAGAAAAGGUGUUGGUCGAUAUAGACAGCAGGACGGUGGCCAUGGAAGUUGGAAUCCGCCAAGGAGUGUGUAACAACUCACCUGCCGAAUCGACUAGCCCUGAAAAUGGAUAGCGUUUGAGCUCCAGGCCCAUACCUGACCGUCUCAAUUACGCACUUUUUUUUCGGAAAAGGUGUAAUGAACGUUGAGACGGGUAGGAAGGUCGCGACAGUGUUGCUUUGAAGAGUUUUGAGCGUGAGCUCGCUCGGAGCCGCUGUUGGUGCAGAUCUUGGUGGUAGUGGCAAAUAUUCAAGUGAGAACCUUGAAGGCUGAAG